GGGCAAGUCCAGGAAGCAGUGUGUGACAAAGAAUGAGUACCCAGUGCUGGAGGGCAUGGAGCAAUCCAUCGGCAGCUCCCGGUGGUGAUGAGUGAGUGUCCUGCGGCAGAGGGUGGGGUGGCAUAGCAAGAACAGUUGAAGGCAGGAAGUGGGAAAGCAUUCUGGUUACUGUCAUGCCAAGGGUCAGCGGCCAACAGUCCGGGAGAGUCUCCUUGCAUCUGUCUUCCUCUAACAAGGAUGGGUGUGUGUGGCCCAUAAAUCAACUGGACGCACUUCCCUUUGUUUGCACACUGCCACCGACACAGGCUUGCUAUGAAGAAGAAGAAAUUUUGCUCAGAGGAAACUAGAAAACCUGAACGUGUACACAAUGCUGACAUAUUUUGUUGCUUUCACCCCUCUUAAGAAUUUCUACCAUUCCUUUGAGAAGUUGAUUAUUUUUAAAACUGUGUAUCAUUUUGUCUUCUUGGGCAAAUUGCACAGUCAAUGAUAUGUUUCA
rnacentral:lncRNA from 1 species